rnacentral:rRNA from 1 species
AGUGAACGCUGGCGGUAGGCCUAACACAUGCAAGUCGAACGGCAGCACAGUAAGAGCCUGCUCUUACGGGUGGCGAGUGGCGGACGGGUGAGGAAUACAUCGGAAUCUACUUUUUCGUGGGGGAUAACGUAGGGAAACUUACGCUAAUACCGCAUACGACCUACGGGUGAAAGCAGGGGAUCUUCGGACCUUGCGCGAUUGAAUGAGCCGAUGUCGGAUUAGCUAGUUGGCGGGGUAAAGGCCCACCAAGGCGACGAUCCGUAGCUGGUCUGAGAGGAUGAUCGGCCACACUGGAACUGGAACACGGUCCAGACUCCUACGGGAGGCAGCAGUGGGGAAUAUUGGACAAUGGGCGCAAGCCUGAUCCAGCCAUACCGCGUGGGUGGAGAAGGCCUUCGGGUUGUAAAGCCCUUUUGUUGGGAAAGAAAAGCAGCAGGUUAAUACCCCGCUGUUCUGACGGUACCCAAAGAAUAAGCACCGGCUAACUUCGUG